CGUAAAGUUGAUGGAAGAUCAUCUACAAAAAUGAGAUAGAAAUACGGAGACAGAAUUGAACCUUGACUAAGUCCUCGUAUCGGAUGCCUUGCUGCAAAUUUUAUUCCACCAUGGUAUUGCAUUUUUCGAUAAAGCAAUCACAUUUUGUGGAGUACAUGAUGUGACGCUGAGAAUUAUGCCCUGACACAGGAUAUCUGUAAUGAAUUCGAUCAAGCUCACUAUGUC